rnacentral:rRNA from 1 species
CACGGGGGGCCUACGGGAGGCAGCAGUGAGGAAUAUUGGUCAAUGGACGCAAGUCUGAACCAGCCAUGCCGCGUGCAGGAAGAAUGCCCUAUGGGUUGUAAACUGCUUUUAUUUAGGAAGAAACCCCCUGACGUGUCGGGGGCUGACGGUACUAAACGAAUAAGGACCGGCUAACUCCGUGCCAGCAGCCGCGGUAAUACGGAGGGUCCAAGCGUUAUCCGGAAUCAUUGGGUUUAAAGGGUCCGCAGGCGGGCUGAUAAGUCAGUGGUGAAAUCUCUCAGCUUAACUGGGAAACUGCCAUUGAUACUGUUAGUCUUGAAUUCGGUCGAAGUAGGCGGAAUGUGUCAUGUAGCGGUGAAAUGCAUAGAUAUGACACAGAACACCGAUAGCGAAGGCAGCUUACUAGGCCUGAAUUGACGCUCAUGGACGAAAGCGUGGGGAGCAAACAGGAUUAGAUACCCUGGUAGUCCACGCCGUAAACGAUGAUUACUCGAUAUCAGCGAUAUACUGUUGGUGUCUAAGCGAAAGUGAUAAGUAAUCCACCGGAGCUCC